UACGUAGGGGGCGAGCGUUGUCCGGAUUUAUUGGGCGUAAAGAGCGUGUAGGCGGCCAGGUAGGUCGGUUGUGAAAACUGGAGGCUCAACCUUCAGAGGUCGACCGGAACCAUCUGGCUAGAGUCCGGGAGAGGAGAGUGGAAUUCCGUGGUGUAGCGGUGAAAUGCGCAGAUAUCAGGAAGAACACCCGUGGCGAAAGCGGCUCUCUGGAACGGUACUGACGCUGAGACGCGAAAGCGUGGGGAGCGAACAGG
rnacentral:rRNA from 1 species